UCUCCUCGAGAACACUGACACAGGGUCCUGGGCUCCCCAGGAGGAGCAGAGGCUGUGGAGGUGUGAGCGCAUGGACGAGGUGGUGUGACGUGCUAAUUUUACACACUGGGAGGGUGAAGAGGAUAUCGCAAAGGAAGUGACGAACUCCACCACCCGUGUCAUGGAACUGGCACAGUGAGGUGUGAUGUCCCCUAAAACCUGGAAUCUGCUCACAGCAAGGUCUUCCCUGGGCAGCCGUCACCACUCCACGAGUCCCAGGAGCAGGGAAAUCCGCUGUCUGUCCGCGUGCUGUGUAAGCUACGUUAAUGCUGGGAGGUGUAGAUAGGUUUCUCCGUGGAGAUCUGGAUGCAGCCCCCGGGUCACAGUCGUCAAACAACAAAAACAUAAUGUAAGUAUCCAGCACUAAGCCAGGGAUGCCGAGUGGGUACUUUUCCUCCUCCUCCAUUAGCUGCCUGUGAGCCUCGACCCCUCUCAUUUUACUGUAUAUCCGUUUAUUCUUCUGCCGGGAAACCCCUGGAUCCCUCUACGGAGUUCUGCUCGAGACGUGAAUUCUGAAUGACUCCAAGUGGUUUUGAUGAGCCUCUGGAACUUAGUGCCAUGACUUCCGGAAUUUCCUGAUACCGUAGUUACCGGCCCUUCCAAGUCUGCUGGCUACCUCACGUGCAUGCAGGGGUGACACUGAGGGCAGGCUGCCAGCGUGUCCCCAGCAAGACAUGUUGAGGCGAUGACCCUUCAUGCCUGUGAAUGUGCCUAAUUUGCAAAUCAGGUCUUCAGAGAUGUAAUCAAGUUCAGAGGAUGUUACACUGAAUUACACUGAGCCCUAAGUAUUUUUUUAAUUUUAUUUUUUUUAAUUUAUUUUUUUUCUUAAAAACUUUAUUUAUUUAUCUGAUAGAGGGAGCACAAGUGGGGGAGCAGCAGAGGGAGAGGGAGAAGCGGGCUUCCCGCUAAGCAGGGAGCCCAAUGUGGGGCUUGAUCCCAGGACCCUGAGGUCCUGCCCUGAGCUGAAGGCAGAUGCUUCACCGACAGAGCCACCCAGGCAUUCUAGAGUGAGCCCUAAGUCUGAUGAUGGUUACACAUAGGGCACGUGGGGUACCUGGAUGGCUCCGUCGGUGAGGCACGCCGAUUCCAGAUCUUGGGGUCGUGAGUUCAAGUACCACGUUGGAUAUAGAGAUUACUAAAAAAAAAAUAGUUUUUUGUUUAAGUUUAUUUAUUGUAUUGAUUAAUCUCUACACCCAGUGUGAGCUGGAACUCACAACCCAAGAUCAAGAGUUGGUGUUCUGCCAACUGAGCCAGCCAGGUGCCCCUAAAAAUAAAAUCUUAAAAAAGAAACA
rnacentral:lncRNA from 1 species